rnacentral:rRNA from 1 species
GACGAACGCUGGCGGCGCGCUUAACACAUGCAAGUCGAACGGAAAGGCCUGCUUUCCCUUGUGGAUUGCGGGUACUCGAGUGGCGAACGGGUGUGUAACACGUGAGUGAUCUGCCCCCAACUUGGGUAUAAGCCUGGGAAACUGGGUCUAAUUCCCGAUAGGACUGCAGGGUGGUGCCUGUGGUGGAAAACGAUUUUCUAGUGGUUGGGGAUGAGCUCGCGGCCUAUCAGCUUGUUGGUGGGGUAAUGGCCUACCAAGGCGGCGACGGGUAGCCGGCCUGAGAGGGUGGACGGCCACAUUGGGACUGAGAUACGGCCCAGACUCCUACGGGAGGCAGCAGUGGGGAAUAUUGCACAAUGGGCGGAAGCCUGAUGCAGCGACGCCGCGUGGGGGAUGACGGCCUUCGGGUUGUAAACUCCUUUCGACCGCGAGGAAGCCACCUGGUUGGAAGGGUGGUGACGGUAGUGGUAGAAGAAGCACCGGCUAACUACGUG